CAUGCCGCUGCACUCCAGCCUGGGCCACAGAGCAAGACCCUGUCAAAUAAAUAAAUAAGCUGUCUUUUAAAAAUCACUGUAAUUAAAAACAAAAACUCCUGGAUACCUAAGGUUGGCAAAAUGCUGAUCGUUGUUGUGGCUGGCUGAAUUCUAAAGAUUUCAAGAUUGUAAUUUUGUACUGCUCUGAAGGGACUUUGCAGAUGGAAUUUAGAUGACUAAGUAGCUGACGUUAAAACAGGGAAAUUAGCCUGGGUUAUCCAGGCAGGCCCUUAAAAACAGAGGAGGGAGGCAGAAGAGUCAGAGAGAUAAGGCAGAAACAGAAAGCAGGAGAGGUGAGGGUGAAGGGGGAGAGGGACUAUUUACACUUCCCUUUAGGUUAUAGGCACAGAGAAACCUUUAAGCUGAACUUAAAAUAUGUGAGUAGCUUUAGGCUAAGCUUGAUUUAACAGGGAAAAACAGGACUUUGCAAAAAUUCUUUUAGGGAGUGUACUAUCGAGCACAUUUGAAGACCACAGGCCUGGAAAGCGGGGAAGACGGGACCCAGAGUCCCCCGCAGCAGCGUCACGGCCCAGCUCUGGUUCUCCAGUUGGGCUGCUGUUUUUCCUUUUUUUCUCUUCCGCCAGGAUGCCAGGCGCUGCUGAAAGCUGCAGCCGAAAGGAUUUAGAAUUCCUUACAACGGAGAAAGGGUCUUUGCUCAGACAACAUGGACUUAAGAGAUGGAAGAGCCAAAAAGGCUUGAAAACAGUCUCGAAGAGCGGCUUCCUGGUAGCUAGAAGCUUAAGUGGGGACAGAUGAGCUUAACUGGCAAGCCUGCGUGUGUGCUCUCCAGUCCCCGUGAUUCAGUUUAAAUCUGGGCGGGUCUCCUCAAAGACAGUUCCAGAAGGGGCCACGUGAGGGCAGUAAGAGCCUCUCAAUGCCUGUUUUUGGGGGAAGAGAGAAGUGAGGGCGGAGCGCGGGGAGUGUCCCAGGCCUGGCUACCCGGAUAACUUCCCCAGAAGAAGCUAUGCUCGGGCCUUCCCAUCGUCCCACUCAAGAGCUUUCUUCAUAUUGGUCGCUUGGUAGAAUUCUGUGUUCUGAAGAGGCAAGAAUUGAGGUUGCUGCAGACCUGUAUGGAUUCGCCACCAGUAACAAGAUCUCAGAACACUGGGAAAAUCGAUGCAAAAAAAAAAAAAGGUUUCUGUUGCUCUAUUAGGAUGAUGUCUGAAUUUGAACUCACCACACGAGGGAAAAGAAGUCGACAGAGACUUGAGCUGUGCCUAAACAACUGUGUCCUGAUUUCCCCAGGCCCUACACAGCUCAUGGUAUACGGAAUGCAAGGGAAGAACUGCUUGCAGGCCACAGGGUGGACAAGGCCCUGGAGCUCUGCGAAACCAGGAAGGCACCAUGGAUGGCUCUGGCUUCCAGAAGUUUAAUAGAAAAAAAAAGGCAAACAAACAUUAAGACAGAAAAUGCAUGCAGCAUAUAGCGCCCACAGCUCCUUUUUCUUGGCGUGCCCCUGGUCCCUGCAGCCACUUGGCCAAGUGCAGUGUCUGUCUUCCUUCAGAUCCUCUAUUGCUGUGCACUUCUCAAGCCUAGGGCCACGUCUUUCCAUCUUUGGACAAGUGCCAGUGCCUUUCCUGACACAUUGUAAGUGCUGAAUAGAUAGUAAAUGGCUGACUGAACAAAUGCAAUUUACAACUAUAUAAUGGAAGAUGUGGAAGUAAUCAGGGUGUAGUUUUUUUUUUUUCUUGGAUUAUCCGUUUUCUCUCUGGGAUCCAUGGUGGUUUAUAUACAAAAUCUCAAGGUCAAUGUCUCCUUAGUUGGGGAGCCUAAGUAGGAAAAAUAGGAAAUGGCUAAAGCAUUAAGAAAAAGAUAAAGAAGUGUUACAUGUUCUUAUGAAAACACAGACACUGUAGAGAGAAAGUCUGCAGGACCCUAAUGAGCUAACUGCAAAGGGGCUAUAAAUUCUACAUGGUGUCUAUCUGCAAGCCAGGGCUACCUCAAGGUCUAAGACCCUUGAUGUUGCUGUCUUAUGAAUGUGUGAAGAUAGGUUUCAAUUGAGAUUGAUUAGAAAAGGUAUCUUGCCCCUAAUUGAAAAUUGGACAAAUGAUAAGAGCAGGUAAAUCACAGGAGGGACAAAUUCCCCCAGAAGCUGUAAAAUGCUAGAUUGACGCCAAUCACCCAGACAGUGUUGUAACUGUCAUCAUCAGUUUUGUGACAAGUGAACAAGAUUAUUUGAAAUCGUGGUUGGAAUUAUAAUAAUAGCUAACAUUUAUAGUGUUGUCUGUCCCUGUCAACCUCUUUCCCCUGGUGUGACUUUAUCCCGCUAUAACAACAGAAAUUCAUAAAUGAAAAAAAAAUUGUUUUCUGAAAUGCAUUUACUGUUAAGCACCUCGUACUAAUUACCUCUUUUAAUAUUCAUCUGUAAGGUAGAUAUUAUUAUUCCCAUUUUAGAAAUGCUGACCCAGAUGCACAGAGAGGUUAAGUAACUUGCUCAAAGACACAUAGCUGAGUAAUGGUUGCAGAGUAUAAAUUCAGGACGAUCUCUCCCAAGAGACUGCAGUGUACAAUAUUGCUUGCCAAUGAAUUCUCACAGGCAGAUGAAAUAAAAAGGCAGGUAUUUUCUGAAAAGCAAGCCCAUUCUAUAGUGUUAACUCAAAGUCUGGAGUUGUUCCCCAGAUUGGUGAUACCAGUUUUAGGGUAGUGGUGAUGAUGCUGAAAUUUCCAGGGACCUUAAAACACACUUGGGAGUUGGGGGAGCCAUUUUUUCAACCUCCAUUGUGGGAGAUAAUCAAAUCUUAGUCAUCUCUUGUGUGUGACUAAUACCCAUUGCCAGGGCUGUUCCAUUCUGCCGCAGAAGCCACUGUAAUGACUAAGCCAUCAAGAUGGAUUUUUUCCUGAUGACAUUUGCUGCACAGGACUAAAUUCUAUUAAGCCAGCCUUUUCGAGUCUGGAUCUGGAGGAGUCAUUGUAUCACUGUCUUUGAAAAUUGGGCUAAAGGGGGUGGUAUCUAUUAAUAUACCGAGGCUCUAGUUUCCCUCCUCCUAGGAUGCCUGACCUCUCCGGCCCAUUCCUGUCUCUUUCUUACUGAACCUGCUGUGCCUGUAUUGUGGGAGCCAGCAUGACCUCAUCGCCCUGAGCAUGGGAGUGUUGGGCUGGGCCAGGGCCCUCUCAGUGCCCUCCCAGGCAGAGCCUCCACCCUGGGUUUUACAAUUACUCAGGGGCCACAGAAGGUGGAUGGUGCUAAAUUAACGCAGCAAACCAGAAAAAAAAAAAAAGCAAGGACCCACCAUUCAAUAUACCAAUGCUUUUAUUUUAAAGCAGACACUAACUGAGGCCGUUUCUGACUUUGACAUCCUAUAAUUACGAUCCUGAGAAACGUUUAUUUAGACAACAACACAUAAAUUAGUUGAUGACUUCUCUUGUUACUUAUACCUCACAAAGGUCAGAGAUACAGAGCCAAGAACAAUUAUCUUGUCAUUAACUUAAAUUCUUUUGAGUUCUAAUUAUUGGGGUAUUUAGCCUCUUCCCAACUAAAACGCCAACCUUUUCCCCAGCUUCUGAGAAUAAAGAAAAUCUGAUUCACUCCCCUGCUUAAAACCCGUGAGUCCCUUCAUCUCCAGGGUGAAAGCCAAUCCUUUUCUCAUGGAACAGUCCUUCAUUAUCCAUUCCCUGCCUACCUCUUUAACCUUACCUUUUAUUAUUUUUUUAA